GUCCUUUAGUUUUAUUUUUAAGGUCUGACCUGCCCUAUGAUAUUUUAAAUGGCCGCAGUAUUUUAACUGUGCGAAGGUAGCAUAAUCAAUUGUCUUUUAAUUGAAGGCUAGAAUGAAUGGUUGGACGUGAAGUAAACUUUCUUUGUUUAAUAUUAUGAAUUUAAUUUUUCAAUUAAAAAGUUGAAAUAUUUUUAUGGGACGAUAAGACCCUAUAGAAUUUUAUAAAUUAAAUAUUGAUAUUAUUUUUGUUUAUUAUAUAUAAUUAAUAUUUAAUUUAUUUUAUUGGGGUGAUAUGAAGAUUUAAUUAACUCUUUAUUAUAAAAUUUCAUUAAUUAGUGUUUAUUUGAUCCAAUAUUUUGAUUAUAAGAUUAAAUUACCUUAGGGAUAACAGCGUAAUCCUUCUUUAGAGUUCUUAUUGAUAGAAGGGGUUGCGA
rnacentral:rRNA from 1 species